AAAGAGCCUGCAAAGCCUAAGGCUCCUGAAAAGCCCAAGGAACCCGAGAAGCCUAAAGAACCCGAGAAGCCCAAGGAGCCCGCAAAACCUAAAGUGCUUGAGAAGCCUAAAGAGCCCGAGAAGCCCAAAGUGCCCGAAAAGCCUAAAGAGCCAGAAAAGCCCAAACAACCCGAGAAGCCCACAGAGCCCGUGAAGCCUAAGGAACAUGAGAAGCCGAAAGAAUCAGAAAAAUCAAAAGAACCCGAGAAGCCCAAGGAACCCGAGAAGCCCAAAGAGCCUGAGAAGCCCAAGGAACCCGAGAAGCUCAAAAAGCCUGAGACGCCCAAACAACCCGAAAAGCCCAAACAACCCGAAAAGCCCAAAGAACCUGAGAAGCCCAAGGAAGCUCCUAAACCUGCACCGGUUGCUCCACAACCACAAGCACAACCACCACCACCACCAU
rnacentral:lncRNA from 1 species